rnacentral:rRNA from 1 species
GACGAACGCUGGCGGCGUGCUUAACACAUGCAAGUCGAACGGAAAGGCCCUGCUUUUGUGGGGUGCUCGAGUGGCGAACGGGUGAGUAACACGUGAGUAACCUGCCCUUGACUUUGGGAUAACUUCAGGAAACUGGGGCUAAUACCGGAUAGGAGCUCCUGCUGCAUGGUGGGGGUUGGAAAGUUUCGGCGGUUGGGGCUGGACUCGCGGCUUAUCAGCUUGUUGGUGGGGUAGUGGCUUACCAAGGCUUUGACGGGUAGCCGGCCUGAGAGGGUGACCGGCCACAAUGGGACUGAGAUACGGCCCAGACGCCUACGGGGGGCAGCAGUGGGGAAUAUUGCACAAUGGGCGGAAGCCUGAUGCAGCAACGCCGCGUGCGGGAUGACGGCCUUCGGGUUGUGAACCGCUUUCGCCUGUGACGAAGCGUGAGUGACGGUAAUGGGUAAAGAAGCACCGGCUAACUACGUG